ACCCUCAAAAGCCUGAAGCAAUGACAAAGGCUGUUCAAAGUGCUGAGGAACCAAGGAAAUGUACAUAUUUGGCUUAAUUCAUAAAACUGUCAUUGAAGGCCAGCUAAGAAGACGAAGAUUUUUGUCCAGGAUCUGCAGCUGUGAGACCACAGAAAGUUUGUUGACUCAUGACCUAGAUGACUGCAAGAGCCUACAAUGAAGUCCCUCUGCAAACAGAAGCAAAAGGCACAGUCUGCUCCUCCUAAAGCAAGUCCACAUCUCUACUCCAGAAAAGAGCAAACUAUUUACAACUAUUUAAAUACAGCCUUUUCAUCUUAAAAAUUACAUUAAGUUUCUGGAAUUCUGAUAUACCCAAUUCCAAUUCUGGAGGCUGGCAAGUUCAAGAUCAAGGUGCCAGAAGAUUUGGUGUUUGGUGAGAACCCACUUUCUGGUUCCUAGAAAUAACAAUUUCUCCCUGAGUCCUCACAUAGUAGUGGGGAUGAAGAAGUUCUUUGGGAUCUCUUUUAUAAGGGCACUAAUCCCUUUUAUAAGGGCUCCACCUUAAUGAUCUAGUCACUUCCCAGACGCCCCACUUCCAAAUACCAUCACAUUGGGGAUUAGGUUUCAACAUACAAAUUUUAGGAGGACACAGACAUUCAGACUGUAGCAAUCCCUUGUGCCCAUUUGUUUUUCCUUUAGGAUGGUCAUUUUCUGCUGCUAUGGCCCAGUUUGUGCCUUCAAGGACUGACUGUGUAAAAAAGAGCCCAGAAACUCUUUGAACUGACUUACAGUAGCUUCUUCAGCAGUCAGCUGUAACGAUGGCUGGAGCACCUGGUACCUGAGUGAGGGCCAAGAAUGGGCUCUGCAUGUGCCCUCCCUCAACAAUUGCCCACCACCCAUUCUCACACAAAUGCAGUGGGGGAUGAACCUGUAGGGAUGGGUAAUCAGCCUGAAAGGAACAAUUUUGCAUAUGUGUAAAAUCUGAAAAAAUAAAUUAUUAUUCAUGGGAAA